GACGAACGCUGGCGGCGUGCUUAACACAUGCAAGUCGAACGGAAAGGCCCCUUUGGGGGUACUCGAGUGGCGAACGGGUGAGUAACACGUGAGUAACCUGCCCUUGACUUCGGGAUAACUUCAGGAAACUGGGGCUAAUACCGGAUAGGAAUCCUUGCUGCAUGGUGGGGGUUGGAAAGCUUCGGCGGUUUUGGAUGGACUCGCGGCUUAUCAGCUUGUUGGUGGGGUAGUGGCUUACCAAGGCUUUGACGGGUAGCCGGCCUGAGAGGGCGACCGGCCACAUUGGGGCUGAGAUACGGCCCAGACUCCUACGGGAGGCAGCAGUGGGGAAUAUUGCACAAUGGGCGGAAGCCUGAUGCAGCAACGCCGCGUGCGGGAUGACGGCCUUCGGGUUGUAAGCCGCUUUCAGCAGGGGCGAAGCUUGUGGUGACGGUACCUGCAGAAGAAGCACCGGCUAACUACGUG
rnacentral:rRNA from 1 species